rnacentral:tRNA from 1 species
GGAGAGAUGGCAGAGCUCGGUUUAAUGCGUUUGAUUUGAAAUCAGAAGAGGUUUUGCAACUUCCGUGGGUUCGAAUCCCACUCUCUCCU